AACAGGAUUAGAUACCCUGGUAGUCCACGCCCUAAACGAUGAAUACUCGAUGUUAGCGAUAUACAGUUAGCGUCAAAGCGAAAGCGUUAAGUAUUCCACCUGGGGAGUACGCCCGCAAGGGUGAAACUCAAAGGAAUUGACGGGGGCCCGCACAAGCGGAGGAGCAUGUGGUUUAAUUCGAUGAUACGCGAGGAACCUUACCCGGGCUUGAAAGUUAGUGAAUGAUCCAGAGACGGAUCAGUCCUUCGGGACACGAAACUAGGUGCUGCAUGGCUGUCGUCAGCUCGUGCCGUGAGGUGUUGGGUUAAGUCCCGCAACGAGCGCAACCCCUGUGUUUAGUUGCCAGCACGUAAUGGUGGGGACUCUAAACAGACUGCCUAUGCAAAUAGAGAGGAAGGAGGGGACGACGUCAAGUCAUCAUGGCCCUUACGUCCGGGGCUACACACGUGCUACAAUGGGCAGUACAGAGGGCAGCUACCUGGCAACAGGAUGCCAAUCUCAAAAAGCUGUUCACAGUUCGGAUCGGGGUCUGCAACUCGACCCCGUGAAGUUGGAUUCGCUAGUAAUCGCAGAUCAGCAAUGCUGCAGUGAAUACGUUCCCGGGCCUUGUACACACCGCCCGUCAAGCCAUGGAAGCUGGGGGUGCCUGAAGUGCGUAACCGCAAGGAGCGUCCUAGGGUAAAACCGGUAACUGGGGCUAAGUCGUAACAAGGUAACC
rnacentral:rRNA from 1 species